GGAGUGUAAAAAAACUACAUUCCAUGAUUCAAGGUAAUAUGGAUGGCUGCAUGAAAGUGGAAGAAUUCCAGAAUUUGAUUGUAGAUUUGAGGAGGGAGGCAGAGAAGCUUACACAAGGUGUUGAUCGUCUUACAAAACAAGUUGAUGAGUUUUUUCACAUUGUUUUAUCUGGACGUGAUGCAUUGCUUUCAAAUCUUAGAGCAAGUGAAACAGAAUUUGAUCGGGGAAUUGGGGUGCUGUCUACAAGGCAACUGUGACGGAGAGCUUGUUCCUUUAUAUAAAAGGCUUCAACUGGUUAUUUUACUAUCUUUUGAUUGGCGAUUGUACACUAUCUUGUCUUACUUGUCAUAGUAUAGCCUGUGUAGUAAUGCCUUGUGUUAUCUUAAUGUCAUUGUGGUUUGAGCGUGUAAUGUUGUACUUGGC
rnacentral:misc_RNA from 1 species